rnacentral:lncRNA from 1 species
UGUAAGGGAAGGGAAAUGGCAGGUGUAGCGGCAAGAGAGAGAUAGGGAAUGGAAGGGAAGGGAAAUGGGGGGUGUAUUUGGGAGGGAGAGCAAGGGAAUGGAAGGGAAGGGAAAUGGGGUGACUAGUGGGUAGGAAGCGGAAGGGAAUGGAAGGGAAGGGAAAUGGGGUGACUAGUGGGUAGGAAGCGGAAGGGAAUGGAAGGGAAGGGAAAUGAGGUUGCAUUGGGAAGGGAGAGCAAGGGAAUGGAAGGGAAUGGAAGGGAAUGGAAAAGGGGAGUAUAGUGGGAAGGGAGAGCAAGGGAAUGGAAGGGAAGGGAAAUGGGGGGUGUAGGGGGAAGGGAGAUAAACGGAAUGGAAGGGAAUGGAAGGGAAGGGAAAUGGGGUGGGUAGCGGGAAGGGAGGGCAAGGGAAUGGAAGUGAAUGAAAAUAGGGGGUGUAGUUGGAAGGGAGAGCAAGAAAAUGGAAGGGAAUGUACGGGAAGGGAAAUGGGGUGUAGUGGGAAGUGAGAGAUAGGGAAUGGAAGGGAACGGAAAUGGGGUGUGUAGAGGGAAGGGAGAGCAAGGGAAUGGAAGGGAACGGAAAGAAAGGGAAAAAUGGGGUGUAGUGGAGAGGGAGAGCAAGGGAAUUGAAGGUAAGGAAAGGGAAGGGAAGGGAAGGGAAGGGAAGGGCAAAGGGGAGUGUAGUGGGAAGGGAGAGCACGGUUAGGGAAGGGAAGGGAAGGGAAGGGAAGGGAAGGGAAGGGAAGG